rnacentral:rRNA from 1 species
CCUACGGGAGGCAGCAGUGGGGAAUAUUGGGCAAUGGGCGCAAGCCUGACCCAGCAACGCCGCGUGAAGGAAGAAGGCUUUCGGGUUGUAAACUUCUUUUGACAGGGAAGAGUACAAUACGGUACCUGUCGAUUACGCUACGGCUAACUACGUGCCAGCAGCCGCGCUAAUACGUAGGUGGCAAGCGUUGUCCGGAAGUACUGGGUGUAAAGGGCGUGUAGCCGGGUUGGCAAGUCAGAUGUGAAAUCCUGCGGCUUAACCGCAGAACUGCAUUUGAAACUGUUGAUCUUGAGUACUGGAGAGGCGGACAGAAUUCCUGGUGUAGCGGUGAAAUGCGUAGAGAUGUGGAGGAACACCAGUGGCGAAGGCGGUCCGCUGGACAGCAACUGACGGUGAGGCGCGAAAGCGUGGGGAGCAAACAGGAUUAGAUACCCGGGUAGUC